rnacentral:lncRNA from 1 species
AACCCUUUCCAGGAGCGAGGCAACAACAUUGUCACAUAUGAAUGGGUGAGUCAAGCAGAUCCUUCAGGAACCAUAAACUAUUGCUGAGAAGGGAUGGUGCAAGCCCUGCCUGGGGAAGGGGUAGGGAUGCAUGGCUAGGGUCUCUGUAUGGAAUUAUAAAGGUGGCCAGUGAGCUGCUGCCUUGGAAGGAAAUAAUUUUAUUUCUAGUGAUCUGGCCUUGGACCUGCUCUAAGCUGCCUUGUUUCUCUCUUGCAGGCCAAGGACCUUCUGACUAAUUACCAGACUGGAGUCCUAGAAAACUCUCCCAAGAUGGUACUGCUUUUCCACCUGAUUGAGGAAAGUGUGAAGCUUGGGGACAAGAUCCUUGUGUUUAGGUAGGAUGAGAAACUUCCAUUUGAGGCUGUGUGUCUAUGGUAAAGAAUGACAAAACCACCACAGAGCAAGACCAAGAC